rnacentral:rRNA from 1 species
GAGUGGCGAACGGGUGAGUAACACGUAGGUGAUCUAUCUUUGGAUUGGGGAUAGCCUGUGGAAACACAGGAUAAUACCGGAUACGACCUGAGGGCUAUGGCUUUCAGGGGAAAGGCCCUUAGGGGUCGUCCAAAGCUGAGCCUGCGGUCCAUUAGCUAGUUGGUGUGGUAAGAGCGCACCAAGGCGACGAUGGAUAGCCGGCCUGAGAGGGUGCUCGGCCACACUGGGACUGAGACACGGCCCAGACUCC